CGUGUAGGCGGGAAUACAAGUCAGAUGUGAAAUACCGGAGCUUAACUCCGGGGCUGCAUCUGAAACUGUAUUUCUUGAGUGCUGGAGAGGAAAGCGGAAUUCCUAGUGUAGCGGUGAAAUGCGUAGAUAUUAGGAGGAACACCAGUGGCGAAGGCGGCUUUCCGGACAGUAACUGACGCUGAGGCGCGAAAGCGUGGGGAGCAAACAGGAUUAGAUACCCUGGUAGUCCACGCUGUAAACGAUGGAUACUAGGUGUAGGAGGUAUCGACCCCUUCUGUGCCGCAGUUAACACAAUAAGUAUCCCACCUGGGGAGUACGGCCGCAAGGUUGAA
rnacentral:rRNA from 1 species